rnacentral:tRNA from 1 species
GGAGAUGCUAUGGCUCAAUUGUAGAACAUCUGCUUUGCCCGCAGACGAUCCCAGGUUCAAUUCCCAGCAUCUUUCA